UACAGAGGAUGCAAGCGUUGUCCGGAAUCAUUGGGCGUAAAGAGCGUGUAGGCGGCCCGGUAAGUCCGCUGUGAAAGUCGGGGGCUCAACCCUCGAAUGCCGGUGGAUACUGUCGGGCUAGAGUGCGGAAGAGGCGAGUGGAAUUCCUGGUGUAGCGGUGAAAUGCGCAGAUAUCAGGAGGAACACCGAUUGCGAAGGCAGCUCGCUGGGACGUCACUGACGCUGAGACGCGAAAGCGUGGGGAGCAAACAGG
rnacentral:rRNA from 1 species